CAGUCGCCGCGGUAAUACGAGGGGGGCAAGCGUUGUUCGGAAUUAUUGGGCGUAAAGGGUGCGUAGGCGGUUUGGCAAGUUUGGUGUGAAAUCUUCGGGCUCAACUCGAAGUCUGCAUCGAAAACUGCCGGGCUUGAGUAUGGGAGAGGUGAGUGGAAUUUCCGGUGUAGCGGUGAAAUGCGUAGAUAUCGGAAGGAACACCUGUGGCGAAAGCGGCUCACUGGACCAUAACUGACGCUGAUGCACGAAAGCUAGGGGAGCAAACAGGAUUAGAUACCCCUGUAUCCCUGUCUCUUAUACC
rnacentral:rRNA from 1 species